CAGCACCUCAAGUGGUUAGGAUGAUUAUUGGGCCUAAAGCAUCCGUAGCCGGCGCUGUAAGUUUUCGGUUAAAUCUGUACGCUCAACGUACAGGCUGCCGGGAAUACUGCAGCGCUAGGGAGUGGGAGAGGUAGACGGUACUCGGUAGGAAGGGGUAAAAUCCUUUGAUCUAUUGAUGACCACCUGUGGCGAAGGCGGUCUACCAGAACACGUCCGACGGUGAGGGAUGAAAGCUGGGGGAGCAAACCGGAUUAGAUACCCGAGUAGUCC
rnacentral:rRNA from 1 species